AUGAGCAGCCGCCGCCGCCGCCGCCACGCCCGCUCGCCGGCGGCCGCGCCCCUGGACGACGACGACCUGCUCUCCGAGAUCCUGCUCCGCCUCCCGCCGCAGCCCUCCUCCCUCCCGCGCGCAUCCCUCGUCUGCAAGCGCUGGCGCUGCCUCGUCUCCGACCCCGGCUUCGUCCGCCGAUUCCGCAUCCGCCAUCGCCACAACCCUCCCCUCCUCGGUUUCUUCAACAGAUAUAAGGGUAGGCCCUUCGUACCUACUCUGGAUGCCCCCAAUCGUGUCCCCGCCGAGCGCUUCUCCUUGCCGAGCGACAAGGAUCACGACGACUCCACGACCCUUGGAUGUCGCCAUGGUCUCGUGCUCGUCUACCUUCCGAGGAGUUUCCAGGUCCUGGUGUGGGACCCCGUCACCGGCGACCAGCACCACAUUGCCGUACCCCGGGAGUUCGAGAAGAACCUAAUCAACGGGGCGGUGCUUCGCGCUGACGGUGACGCCCAGCACUUCAAGGUGGUUCUGGCAGUGGCAGACGGCGACGACGUACAACAUACACGAGCGCUCGCCUGUGUUUACUCGUCAAAGACCGGCUUGUGGGGAAAUCUUAUCUCUACGCCGCUCCCAUACCAGGAUUCUGGGUGCAAUCUUCAAACCAUGGUUUAUUCGAGAGACGCUGUGCUGGUUGGGAAUUGCCUUUACUGGAAGCUUGCUGGGAACUUGAUUGGUAUCCUCAAGUUUGAUUUGGAGAGGCAGAGCCUAGCUGUGAUACGGGUGCCAGUGGAUUUGCUUGGCGAGGGUAACUCCUUCACGGUUAUGAGGGCCGAGGGUGGUGGGCUGGGUUUCCUCUUUGUGCCGUACUCAGACUGCAAUGCUCAGUUAUGGAAAAGGAAUAUCGAUUGCGAUGGUAUUGCCUCAUGGGUGCUUGCACGAACUAUUGAACUGGACAAGCUACUUUCUGUGGGAUGGCCCUAUAUGAUGCUUGGGUUUGCUGAGCAGAAUAAUGUGAUGUUUUAUUGGACAGUUAAUGGCGUCUUAAUGGUCGAGCUUGAGUCAUUGAAGUUCAAGAAGCUUUUUGAAACCAUGACUUUGUCGUACUAUCAUCCAUUCGAAAGUGUCUACAGUGGAGGAACAUGUGUUGGCGAUGGACGCGAUGGGGCUGAGCUUUUGGUUGAUGCAUAA
rnacentral:rRNA from 1 species